rnacentral:rRNA from 1 species
AUACGGAGGGUCCAAGCGUUAUCCGGAUUCAUUGGGUUUAAAGGGUUCGUAGGCGGAUAAAUAAGUCAGUGGUGAAAUCCCGAAGCUCAACUUCGGAACUGCCAUUGAAACUGUUUAUCUUGAAUUUAGUUGAAGUGGGCGGAAUAUGACAUGUAGCGGUGAAAUGCAUAGAUAUGUCAUGGAACACCAAUAGUGAAGACAGCUCACUAAGCUAAUAUCGACGCUGAUGAACGAAAGCAUGGGUAGCGAACAGGAUUAGAAACCCUAGUAGUCC